rnacentral:rRNA from 1 species
GAGUUUGAUCAUGGCUCAGAACGAACGCUGGCGGCAGGCUUAACACAUGCAAGUCGAACGCAUGUCUUCGGACAUGAGUGGCAGACGGGUGAGUAACGCGUGGGAACGUACCCUUCGGUUCGGAAUAACCCAGGGAAACUUGGGCUAAUACCGGAUACGUCCGCAAGGAGAAAGAUUUAUCGCCGAAGGAUCGGCCCGCGUCGGAUUAGCUAGUUGGUGGGGUAAUGGCCUACCAAGGCGACGAUCCGUAGCUGGUCUGAGAGGAUGAUCAGCCACACUGGGACUGAGACACGGCCCAGACUCCUACGGGAGGCAGCAGUGGGGAAUAUUGGUCAAUGGGCGAAAGCCUGAACCAGCCAUGCCGCGUGAGUGAAGAAGGCCUUAGGGUUGUAAAGCUCUUUCAGCGGGGACGAUAAUGACGGUACCCGCAGAAGAAGCCCCGGCUAACUUCGUGCCAGCAGCCGCAGUAAU